rnacentral:rRNA from 1 species
UUCUUCAAAAAAACUGAUAAAAAAGAUUAAUUAAUUAGAAGGAAUUCAGCAAAUUUAAUUGCUCCGCCUGUUUAUCAAAAACAUGGCUCUUUGCUUAACAAAUAUAAAGAGUCGAGCCUGCCCAGUGAAUCUUUCAACGGCCGCGGUACUCUGACCGUGCAAAGGUAGCGUAAUCAUUUGCCUUAUAAUUGAAGGCUAGUAUGAAUGGUUUAACGAGAGCAAUACUGUCUCCUUUUUAUUUUCAAGAACUUAACUUUUAGGUGAAGAGGCCUAAAUUUUAUUGAAGGACAAGAAGACCCUGUCGAGCUUAAAAGAAAUUAUAGAAAUUUAAUAUAUCUUUAGAUAAGUUCUCUAUUAAGCUUUUUAGUUGGGGCGACUGAGGAACAAAAAAAGCUUCUUUCUAAUAGUAAACAAUCACGUUUAGAUCCGAUAGUGCGAUUAAAGGAAUUAGUUACCGCAGGGAUAACAGCAUAAUCUCUCUUAAGAGACCUAAUCGAAAGAAGGGGGUUGUGACCCUCGAUGUUGGACUAGAAUAUCCUAAAGAUGCAGA